rnacentral:rRNA from 1 species
UAGGGAAUCUUCCGCAAUGGACGAAAGUCUGACGGAGCAACGCCGCGUGAGUGAAGAAGGAUUUCGGUUCGUAAAACUCUGUUGUUAGGGAAGAAAAAAUGUAUAGUAACUAUAUACAAAAGAGACGGUACCUAACCAGAAAGCCACGGCUAACUACGUGCCAGCAGCCGCGGUAAUACGUAGUUGGCAAGCGUUGUCCGGAAUUAUUGGGCGUAAAGCGCGCGCAGGUGGUUUAGAAAGUCUGAUGUGAAAGCCCACGGCUCAACCGUGGAGGGUCAUUGGAAACUAAUAAACUUGAGUGCAGGAGAGAAAAGUGGAAUUCCUAGUGUAGCGGUGAAAUGCGUAGAGAUUAGGAGGAACACCGGUGGCGAAAGCGGCUUUUUGGCCUGCAACUGACACUGAGGCGCGAAAGCGUGGGGAGCAAACAGG